rnacentral:lncRNA from 1 species
AAAAAAUGCUAUAUAAUGAGCUUCAAACAAAAAUCAACACACUUCUACCAACUAGACAACCACAUACUAGAACAGGUACAAACAAAUCCUUACCUAGGUCUUAACAUAUCUGAUGACCUAAAAUGGACCAGCCACAUAGGGAAAACAACAAGCAAGGCAAGCUGUACACUAGGGUUCCUGAGAAGAAACUUGCGCCAGUGCCCCCAAGAGUGCAAAAAAACUUGCCUACUUAGCCAUGGUAAGAUCCGUACUAGAAUACGGUGCUGUCAUCUGGGACCCAUUCACCAUCAGGGAAAUAGAAAAAAUAGAAAGCA